rnacentral:rRNA from 1 species
AUGCUUGCCCUGGACCUCCCCCCGAAGACCAUGAUCACCAUGAUCAAGAUAUGUCGUGGCUUCCUAUGGGCUGGCAAGGCAGACGCCGGCGGUGGCGCGUGCGCUGUGGCCUGAGAGAGGGUGUGCACACCCAAGUGGGCCGGUGGCCUUGGUAUAUUGGACAUGAGGUGGAUGAAUGUGGCCCUCCAGACCAAGUGGCUUUGGCUGCAACGGGCUGAUCAGAAUAGGCCUUGGUCUGAGUUUUCCUUCUCCGUACAGAUGGAAUCGAGGCAAUUAUUUCAGGCGGCCACUCGAGCGGUCGUGAGUGAUGGGCGAGGCACACUAUUCUGGGAAGAUAGAUGGCUUAAUGGAUACCAGUUGUAG